rnacentral:rRNA from 1 species
UACGUAGGGUGCGAGCGUUAAUCGGAAUUACUGGGCGUAAAGCGUGUGCAGGCGGUCUGUUAAGACAGGUGUGAAAUCCCCGGGCUUAACCUGGGAAUUGCGCUUGUUACUGGCAGACUAGAGUGCGUCAGAGGGAGGUGGAAUUCCACGUGUAGCAGUGAAAUGCGUAGAGAUGUGGAGGAACACCGAUGGCGAAGGCAGCCGCCUGGGAUGACACUGACGCUCAUACACGAAAGCGUGGGGAGCAAACAGG